rnacentral:rRNA from 1 species
CGUAGGGUGCGAGCGUUAAUCGGAAUUACUGGGCGUAAAGCGGGCGCAGACGGUUACUUAAGCAGGAUGUGAAAUCCCCGGGCUCAACCCGGGAACUGCGUUCUGAACUGGGUGACUCGAGUGUGUCAGAGGGAGGUAGAAUUCCACGUGUAGCAGUGAAAUGCGUAGAGAUGUGGAGGAAUACCGAUGGCGAAGGCAGCCUCCUGGGAUAACACUGACGUUCAUGCCCGAAAGCGUGGGUAGCAAACAGGAUUAGAUACCCUGGUAGUCCACGCCCUAAACGAUGUCAAUUAGCUGUUGGGCAACUUGAUUGCUUGGUAGCGUAGCUAACGCGUGAAAUUGACCGCCUGGGGAGUACGGUCGCAAGAUUAAAACUCAAAGGAAUUGACGGGGACCCGCACAAGCGGUGGAUGAUGUGGAUUAAUUCGAUGCAACGCGAAGAACCUUACCUGGUCUUGACAUGUACGGAAUCCUCCAGAGACGGAGGAGUGCCUUCGGGAGCCGUAACACAGGUGCUGCAUGGCUGUCGUCAGCUCGUGUCGUGAGAUGUUGGGUUAAGUCCCGCAACGAGCGCAACCCUUGUCAUUAGUUGCCAUCAUUCAGUUGGGCACUCUAAUGAGACUGCCGGUGACAAGCCGGAGGAAGGUGGGGAUGACGUCAAGUCCUCAUGGCCCUUAUGACCAGGGCUUCACACGUCAUACAAUGGUCGGUACAGAGGGUAGCCAAGCCGCGAGGUGGAGCCAAUCUCACAAAACCGAUCGUAGUCCGGAUUGCACUCUGCAACUCGAGUGCAUGAAGUCGGAAUCGCUAGUAAUCGCAGGUCAGCAUA